rnacentral:rRNA from 1 species
UGAGUACGAGCUGCUACGGCAGCGAAGUGGGCGAUGUCAAGCUUCCAAGAAAAGCCCUAUACCCGUUAAGGCAUGACGGCCUGUACCCGAAACCGACACAGGUGGGGUGGUAGAGAAUACCGAGGGGCGCGAGAUAACUCUCUCUAAGGAACUCGGCAAAAUGGCCCCGUAACUUCGGGAGAAAGGGUGCCACCGCAAGGUGGUCGCAGUGAAGAGGCCCAGGCGACUGUUUACCAAAAACACAGGUCUCCGCUUAGUCGCAAGACGAUGUAUGGGGGCUGACGCCUGCCCAGUGCCGGAAGGUUAAGGAAGCUGGUCAGCGCAAGCGAAGCUAGCGACUGAAGCCCCGGUGAACGGCGGCCGUAACUAUAACGGUCCUAAGGUAGCGAAAUUCCUUGUCGGGUAAGUUCCGACCCGCACGAAAGGCGUAACGAUCUGGGCGCUGUCUCGGAGAGAGGCUCGGCGAAAUAGAAUUGUCUGUGAAGAUGCGGACUACGUGCACCCGGACAGAAAGACCCUAUGAAGCUUUACUGUAGCUUGGUAUUGUGCCCGGGCUCUGAAUGCGCAGGAUAGGUGGGAGGCUUUGAUCCAUUGCUUGUGGGUAAUGGUGAGCCACUGGUGAGAUACCACUCUUUCAGAGCUAGGGUUCUAACGGUCACCCGUUAUCCGGGGACCGGACAGUAUCAGGCGGGCAGUUUGACUGGGGCGGUCGCCUCCUAAAAGGUAACGGAGGCGCGCAAAGGUUCCCUCAGGCUGGUUGGAAAUCAGCCGAUGAGUGUAAAGGCAGAAGGGAGCUUGACUGUGAGACCUACAAGUCGAACAGGGACGAAAGUCGGCCUUAGUGAUCCGACGGUUCUGAGUGGAAGGGCCGUCGCUCAACGGAUAAAAGUUACUCUAAGGAUAACAGGCUGAUCUCCCCCAAGAGUUCACAUCGACGGGGAGGUUUGGCACCUCGAUGUCGGCUCAUCGCAACCUGGGGCUGAAGUCGGUCCCAAGGGUUGGGCUGUUCGCCCAUUAAAGCGGUACGCGAGCUGGGUUCAGAACGUCGUGAGACAGUUCGGUCCAUAUCCGGUGCACGCGCAGGAACAUUGAGAGGAUUUCUCCCUAGUACGAGAGGACCGGGAGGAACGCACCUCAGGUGUACCAGUUAUCGUGCCAACGGUAAACGCUGGGUAGCCAUGUGCGGAGCGGAUAACCGCUGAAAGCAUCUAAGUGGGAAGCCCACCUCAAGAUGAGUGUUCCCAUGGCAUAAGCCAGUAAGGUCACGGGAAGAACACCCGUUGAUAGGCUCUACGUGGAAGCGUGGCAACACGUGAAGCGGAGGAGUACUAAUAGACCGAGGGCUUGACC